GAAGCGACCAAGAUCCAGGAUGUUGAUGAUGAAAAUAAAAAAUUAGCCGGAAAACAGAACAAGAAGUUAAAAUUGGCUGUUAAAGAAGGGGAAUCAGAAAAGUUUAUUGAUGGAGUUCGAGAAAAUAAAGUUGUUAAAAAAGAAAUAGACGUGGAAACGAAGAAGCCUGACAAAACAAGCAGUAAAACUUUUAAUAUUGGAGACUUUGUGGUUAUAAGUUACCAAAAGAAGAGGUAUCCAGGUUUAAUAAAAAAUAUAGAGCAGGGUGCUCAAGAAUAUGAGAUCAGCGUUAUGGAAAAGAUAAAACCAAAUUUUUGGAGAUGGCCCAAAAAUGUGGACCAAAUUUGGUAUAAGAGAAAAUUUGUUUUAGAAAAAAUUUCAGAGCCAAUAUCAUCCAAAGGCAGUAUAUAUAAUUUCAAUAUUUGAUA